AGCCAUGUAGUGAGCACAAAGCGAACUAUUCUUUCGCCUUUUACUAAAGAAUACCGUGUGCUCUCCACGCUAAGUGGCAUACGCCUAUUUUUGGAGGGAUCUGCCUUCGGGUAGACU
rfam:Arabidopsis thaliana chromosome 1, complete sequence.